GUCAAAGUGCCCAUGAGAAUUCUUUUUAAAGUGCAAGCUGUCCAAAAUCAGUGCCGGCACCCACAGGGCUGGGUGCCCUAGCGCAGUGCUUCUGCAGUUUCAGCGUGGACAGCAAUCACCUGGGCACAGUCCGUUAUAAGACACAUUCAGAUCCGUGGGGCAAAGCAGGGCCCGAGACUCUGCGUUCUAACGAGUGCUGGGGAGGAUAAUGCUGCUGGCCCCUGCCUACUGUGCAGAAGCAGGCUCUCCAGUGCCCCCAUCUUUUCCAGGCCAUCCAGCCGUUCUUGGGUCAGCCACUCACUCGGUGUCACUGCGAUAAAUCCCUUCGAGGAUGCCUAACUAUUCUUUUAGUCUAGGAAAGGGGAAUGUCGGAAGCAAGGGACACACAGAAAGUAGGGUUGUGGGGGGUGGGGGAAGCUUAGCUGCCUUUGCAACUGGGUUCCCCCUCCCCACCAUGGACCCCCUUAAGUCCCCCAGUGGGCUAUCAGAUGGGGUCUCAGACUGGACCCCCACAUUGGGAUGGGGGAUGCUCCCAGAAAGACCUGAAGAUUCAGGUUCAAGUUAACCUGAGUCACCACCACCAACUUGCCAACUUGGUGUUUGUUUUGAGCAGCCCUCACAGUCAGGCCCGUGUUCCCAGCGUAUUAUUUUUCCAGGUGGCAGAAGUGAAGGCCUUUGCCCUCACCAGGUCAGAGAUCUCAGAGGAAGCAGAAGCAAAGCUGACGCGCACAGAGCUAGUCCCCAGGGCUCCUCCUCUGGAGCUGUAAACAGGAAGUUGAAGGUACAUGCUUCAGGAACACCCUGUUGUUGUUUUUUUUUUGCUGGUUUACUCUGUAGCCAUUCUGCCCAUUCAGAGCAACCAGGGAGAAGAAGAUCCGAAAGCCUGUUGGCAGCCCUCUGAACCAUGCUGGCCAGAUCUGAUGAUAGCAAGGAUGCUGGGCAAAGAUUUGCACCCGGGGAGGGCACAGGCGGUGGUGGGUAGGGCUACACGUUUCUGGGAUGUGCCUUCUGGUUACUCCAGCCCACUUUCCCAAUCCCUCCAUGCCAUCCCCCAAAGUAAAUAUUUCUCAGGGCCACAGACAUUUGAGAAGCCAACCCCUGGGUGGUGA
rnacentral:lncRNA from 1 species